rnacentral:rRNA from 1 species
CCGUCGUCAGUUCGUACUGUGAAGCAUCCUGUUAAGUCAGGCAACGAGCGAGACCCACGCCCACAGUUGCCAGCGUACUCUACUGGAGUGACGGGUACACUGUGGGACCGCCGCUGCUAAAGCGGAGGAAGGAAUGGGCAACGGUAGGUCAGUAUGCCCCGAAUAUCCCGGGCUACACGCGAGCUACAAUGGUUGGUACAAUGGGUAUCUACCCCGAAAGGGGACGGGAAUCUCCUAAAACCAAUCUUAGUUCGGAUUGAGGGCUGCAACUCGCCCUCAUGAAGCUGGAAUCCGUAGUAAUCGCGUUUCAACAGAACGCGGUGAAUACCGUCCCUGCUCCUU